AGAUUGAACGCUGGCGGCAGGCCUAACACAUGCAAGUCGAGCGGCAGCACGGGGUACUUGUACCUGGUGGCGAGCGGCGGACGGGUGAGUAAUGCCUAGGAAUCUGCCGUGGUAGUGGGGGAUAACGCUCGGAAACGGACGCUAAUACCGCAUACGUCCUACGGGAGAAAGCAGGGGACCUUCGGGCCUUGCGCUAUCAGAUGAGCCUAGGUCGGAUUAGCUAGUUGGUGAGGUAAUGGCUCACCGAGGCGACGAUCCGUAACUGGUCUGAGAGGAUGAUCAGUCACAUGGAACUGAGACACGGUCCAGGACUCCGUACGGGAGCGAGCUAGGUAGGGAAUAGUCGGAACAGUGGGAC
rnacentral:rRNA from 1 species